UACGUAGGGUGCAAGCGUUGUCCGGAAUUAUUGGGCGUAAAGAGCUUGUAGGCGGUUUGUCGCGUCUGCUGUGAAAUUUCGGGGCUCAACCCCGAACUUGCAGUGGGUACGGGCAGACUAGAGUGUGGUAGGGGAGACUGGAAUUCCUGGUGUAGCGGUGAAAUGCGCAGAUAUCAGGAGGAACACCUGUGGUGUAGACGGCUUACUGGACUAUAACUGACGCUGAGGAACGAAAGCGUGGGUAGCAAACAGG
rnacentral:rRNA from 1 species